ensembl:misc_RNA Y_RNA Y RNA
GGCUGGUCUAAAAGCCAUGAGUUAUCUCCCUUGAUUUUUCCAAGUCAGUUAUAGAUUGAACUCUGCUCUACUCUGGCCCCUCUUCUCACUACCACACUUACUAGUCUUAA